rnacentral:rRNA from 1 species
UACGUAGGAGGCGAGCGUUGUCCGGAUUUACUGGGCGUAAAGCGCGUGUAGGCGGCUUGGUUAGUCUGCUGUGAAAGCUCUCCGCUUAACGGAGAGAGGUCGGUGGAUACUGCCAGGCUUGAGGACGGUAGAGGGGGGUGGAAUUCCCGGUGUAGUGGUGAAAUGCGUAGAGAUCGGGAGGAACACCAGUGGCGAAGGCGGCCCCCUGGGCCGCUCCUGACGCUGAGACGCGAAGGCCAGGGUAGCGAACGGG